CCUACGGGAGGCAGCAGUGAGGAAUAUUGGUCAAUGGCCGGAAGGCUGAACCAGCCAAGCCGCGUGAAGGACGAAGGUUCCAAGCAUUGUAAACUUCUUUUGUCAGGGGACAAAAUCAGGCUCGAGAGCCUGACCGAGGGUCCUUGAAGAAAAAGCAUCGGCUAACUCCGUGCCAGCAGCCGCGGUAAUACGGGGGAUGCGCGCGUUGUCCGGGUUUAUUGGGUUUAAAGGGUGCGUAGGCGGGCUGUUAAGUCAGCGGUAAAGGCCCGGGGCUCAACCCCGGCGAGCCGUUGAAACUGGCUGGCUGGAGAUGUCGAGAGGUAUGCGGAAUGCGCAGUGUAGCGGUGAAAUGCUUAGAUAUUGCGCAGAACUCCGAUUGCGAAGGCAGCAUACCGGCGGCGAUCUGACGCUGAGGCACGAAAGCGUGGGUAUCGAACAGGAUUAGAUACCCUGGUAGUC
rnacentral:rRNA from 1 species